rnacentral:rRNA from 1 species
AUUGAACGCUGGCGGCAUGCCUUACACAUGCAAGUCGAACGGCAGCACGGGUGCUUGCACCUGGUGGCGAGUGGCGAACGGGUGAGUAACACAUCGGAACGUACCUUAUCGUGGGGGAUAACGCAGCGAAAGCUGUGCUAAUGCCGCAUACGCCCUGAGGGGGAAAGCGGGGGAUCGCAAGACCUCGCGCGAUUAGAGCGGCCGAUGCCUGAUUAGCUAGUUGGUGGGGUAAAAGCCCACCAAGGCGACGAUCAGUAGCUGGUCUGAGAGGACGAUCAGCCACACUGGGACGGAGACACGGCCCAGACUCCUACGGGAGGCAGCAGUGGGGAAUUUUGGACAAUGGGGGCAACCCUGAUCCAGCAAUGCCGCGUGAGUGAAGAAGGCCUUCGGGUUGUAAAGCUCUUUUGUCAGGGAAGAAACACCGGCUCUAACACAGUCCGGGAAUGACGGUACCUGAAGAAUAAGCACCGGCUAACUACGUGCCAGCAGCCGCCGUAA